GACGAACCGUACGAACGUUAUUCGGAAUCACUGGGCUUAAAGGGUGCGUAGGCGGCGCAGAAAGUUGGGUGUGAAAUCCCUCGGCUUAACCGAGGAAUUGCGCCCAAAACUACUGUGCUCGAGGGAGGUAGAGGUGAGCGGAACUUAGGGUGGAGCGGUGAAAUGCGUUGAUAUCCUAAGGAACACCGGUGGCGAAAGCGGCUCACUGGACCUCUUCUGACGCUGAGGCACGAAAGCUAGGGUAGCAAACGGG
rnacentral:rRNA from 1 species